UACAGAGGUGGCAAGCGUUGUUCGGAAUUACUGGGCGUAAAGGGCGCGUAGGCGGUCUUUUAAGUCUCGUGUGAAAUCCCUCGGCUCAACUGAGGAACUGCACGGGAUACUGGAUGACUUGAGUUCGGGAGAGGGAAGCGGAAUUCCGGGUGUAGCGGUGAAAUGCGUAGAUAUCCGGAGGAACACCGAUGGCGAAGGCAAUCCCCUGGACCUGUACUGACGCUCAUGCACGAAAGCGUGGGGAGCAAACAGG
rnacentral:rRNA from 1 species